AUUGAACGCUGGCGGCAGGCCUAACACAUGCAAGUCGAACGAGUGGCGGACGGGUGAGUAAUGUCUGGGAAACUGCCUGAUGGAGGGGGAUAACUACUGGAAACGGUAGCUAAUACCGCAUACCAUCGGAUGUUCCCAGAUGGGAUUAGCUUGUAGGUGAGGUAACGGCUCACCUAGGCGACGAUCCCUAGCUGGUCUGAGAGGAUGACAAGCCACACUGGAACUGAGACACGGUCCAGACUCCUACGGGAGGCAGCAGUGGGGAAUAUUGCACAAUGGGCGCAAGCCUGAUCCAGCCAUACCGCGUGGGUGAAGAAGGCCUUCGGGUUGUAAAGCCCUUUUGUUGGGAGGCGUUACCAACAGAAUAAGCACCGGCGAACUUCGUGCCAGCCGCCGCGGUAAUUC
rnacentral:rRNA from 1 species